CUCUUUCUCGAUUCAGUGGAUGGUGGUGCAUGGCCGUUCUUAGUUGGUGGAGUGAUCUGUCUGGUUAAUUCCGAUAACGAACGAGACUCUCCCCUGCUAACUAGUCGGUUGGAUCUUGAUCAGUGGGUUGAGUGCCGAGUAACUCUCGCUGUGCGUGGUGUGCGUCUCGUUCCUCACGGUUCGUUGCGUGCUCAUGUGUGGCGUUGGAUGCCUUGGAUCACACUGCACCCCAAGUCCGCCGCUUUGCUAUAACUCUUCUUAGAGGGAUUCACGGCACUGAAGCCGUAAGAGACUGAGAGCAAUAACAGGUCUGUGAUGCCCUUAGAUGCUCUGGGCCGCACGCGCGCUACAAUGCCGGGCACAGCAGGUGUUUCUCCUGCUCCGACAGGAGCGGGUAACCCUCUGAAAGCCAGUGUUCUUGCAAGUGCUUCCUCCCUCGUGGAGUUGCACAGAGGCGUGCUUGGGCCUGGGACUUGCAAUUCUUUCCCACCAACGAGGAAUGCCUAGUAGCGGCGGGUCACUGAGCCCGCUGUGACUCAGUCCCUGCCCUUUGUACACACCGCCCGUCGCUACUACCGAUUGGGUGUACCAGUGAGAGCCUUGGACUGGCGUCCGUUGUUGCUCGCAAGAGUGACAAGCGGGUCCGACGGAAAGAGGUCCGAACUGGUGCACUUAGAGGAAGUAAAAGUCGUAACAAG
rnacentral:rRNA from 1 species